CUCCUACAUCUCGCAGCAGCAAGAUUUCUAAAAGCCAGCAGCAAGUGCCAUCCCCAGGUCAUAGAGACCCACUGGGAAAUCUCUCUGUAUCCUUGUGGGCUCAGAAUGACCAGCGGGUGGAAGGAGCUGGGUGCUCCAUCUUCAUGCAGGUCACACGAACCUUGCGCCCCCCGGCCGUUGCACCCUUAGGCGGCUGCCUGUGCCGCCUUAUGGUAUCGCCGGCCCUGCUAAUCGCAACUAUUAUUUGAGAAAUGUCACCCAUAGAUUUUUCAAAAGGAACUCUUUGCCCAACUAAUGGUGACAUAUAUAUUAAUGCUUCCUAAACACACAGACGCACGAGAGGUACACAAUCUCACUGAUUUGAAACACACACACACUGACAGACACACACACAUACAAACUCACGCACUCACUGACAGAAACAUUCACACAAUCUCACUGAUUUGUUACACACACUGACAGACACAGACACACUGACAGAAACACACACACACUCUAAAUGACAGACACACAAUCUCACGCUCACUGAC